rnacentral:rRNA from 1 species
AUUGAACGCUGGCGGCAGGCCUAACACAUGCAAGUCGAACGGUAGCACAGAGAGCUUGCUCUCGGGUGACGAGUGGCGGACGGGUGAGUAAUGUCUGGGAAACUGCCUGAUGGAGGGGGAUAACUACUGGAAACGGUAGCUAAUACCGCAUAAUGUCGCAAGCCCAAAGAGGGGGACCUUCGGGCCUCUUGCCAUCGGAUGUGCCCAGAUGGGAUUAGCUUGCUGGUGAGGUAAAGGCUGACCAAGGCGACGAUCCCUAGCUGGUCUGAGAGGAUGACCAGCCACACUGGAACUGAGACACGGUCCAGACUCCUACGGGAGGCAGCAGUGGGGAAUAUUGCACAAUGGGCGCAAGCCUGAUGCAGCCAUGCCGCGUGUGUGAAGAAGGCCUUCGGGUUGUAAAGCACUUUCAGCGGGGAGGAAGGCGGUGAGUUUAAUAAGCUCACCGAUUGACGUUACCCGCAAAAGAAGCACCGGCUAACUCCGUGCCAGCAGCCGCAGUAA